UACGGAGGGUGCAAGCGUUGUUCGGAUUUACUGGGCGUAAAGCGCGCGCAGGUGGGUGAACAAGUCGGAAGUGAAAUCUUGAGGCUCAACCUCGAGGCUGCUCCCGAAACUGUUCGCCUAGGGACUGGUAGAGGCUGGUAGAAUUCCCGGUGUAGCGGUGGAAUGCGUAGAGAUCGGGAAGAAUACCUGUGGCGAAGGCAGGUCUCUGGGCUGACACUGACGCUCAUGCACGAAAGCGUGGGGAGCAAACAGG
rnacentral:rRNA from 1 species